AGGUUAAGUAAGAAAGGGCGCACGGCGGAUGCCUUGGCACUAGGAGCCGAUGAAGGACGGGACCAACACCGAUAUGCUCUGGGGAGCUGUAAGUAAGCUUGGAUCCAGAGAUUUCCGAAUGGGGAAACCUCGCAUUUUUCAUCGAAUGCGGCUUGAUCUGUGAAUACAUAGCAGGCAAGCGGAAGACGCAGUGAACUGAAACAUCUUAGUAGCUGCAGGAAGAAAAAGAAAAAUCGAUUCCCUGAGUAGCGGCGAGCGAAACGGGAAUAGCCCAAACCAGAAUGCUUGCAUUCUGGGGUUGUAGGACGUUUAUUCACGGACAGGACGGUUAGCCGAAGGCUUUGGGAUAAGCCGCCGGAGCGGGUAAGAGCCCCGUAGGCGAAAACUGUCAGGUUCGUAAACGGAUCCUGAGUACGACGGGACACGUGAAAUGCCGUCGGAAACCGGGAGGACCAUCUCCCAAGGCUAAAUACUCCCUAGUGACCGAUAGUGAACCAGUACCGUGAGGGAAAGGUGAAAAGCACCCCGGAAGGGGAGUGAAAGAGAUCCUGAAACCGUGUGCUUACAAGGAGUUAGAGCCCGUUAAUGGGUGAUAGCGUGCCUUUUGCAGAAUGAACCGGCGAGUUGCGCUGGCUGGCGAGGUUAAGUCUGAAAAGACGGAGCCGCAGCGAAAGCGAGUCUGAAAUGGGCGUUGAGUCAGACGGCGCAGACCCGAAACCAGGUGAUCUACCCAUGUCCAGGUUGAAGGUGCGGUAAAACGCACUGGAGGACCGAACCCACGUACGUUGAAAAGUGCGGGGAUGAGAUGUGGGUAGCGGAGAAAUUCCAAACGAACUUGGAGAUAGCUGGUUCUCUCCGAAAUAGCUUUAGGGCUAGCGUCAAGGAAGCAAUGAUGGAGGUAGAGCACUGUUUGGACGAGGGGCCCGUCUUGGGUUACCGAAUCCAGAUAAACUCCGAAUGCCAUUGAUUGACCCUUGGCAGUCAGACGGUGAGUGAUAAGAUCCAUCGUCGAAAGGGAAACAGCCCAGACCACCAGCUAAGGCCCCUA
rnacentral:rRNA from 1 species